rnacentral:rRNA from 1 species
CGGGUGAGUAAUGUCUGGGAAACUGCCUGAUGGAGGGGGAUAACUACUGGAAACGGUAGCUAAUACCGCAUAACGUCGCAAGACCAAAGAGGAGGACCUUCGGGCCUCUUGCCAUCGGAUGUGCCCAGAUGGGAUUAGCUAGUAGGUGGGGUAACGGCUCACCUAGGCGACGAUCCCUAGCUGGUCUGAGAGGAUGACCAGCCACACUGGAACUGAGACACGGUCCAG